CGGCGUGCGUAACACAUGCAAGUUGAGCGACGGAAGUUUGAACCAGUGAUGGGAAUGACUUUACGGAGCAGCGGACUGGUGAGUAAUAUAUGAGAAGCUGUCUGUCAGAGAGGGACAACAGAGGGAAACUUCUGCUAAUACCUCAUAGGCCGAAAGGUUAAAGCAGUAAUGCACUGGCGGAGGUGCUCGUAUCCUAUCAAUUAGUUGGCGGGGUAACGGCCCACCAAGAUAACGACGGGUAGCCGGCCUGAGAGGGUGUCCGGCCACACUGGGACUGAGAUACGGCCCAGACUCCUGCGGGAGGCAGCAGUGGGGAAUAUUGGGCAAUGGGAGAAAUCCUGACCCAGCGACGCCGCGUGAACGAAGAAGGUCUUCGGAUCGUAAAGUUCUUUUAUGCGGGAAGAAACAAAUGACGGUACCGCAUGAAUAAGCCCCGGCUAACUACGUGCCAGCAGCCGCGGUAAUACGUAGGGGGCGAGCGUUGUCCGGAAUUACUGGGCGUAAAGGGCGCGCAGGCUGUUCUGCAAGUCAGCUGUUAAAUGGUACGGCUUAACUGUAUUAUGCAGUUGAAACUACAGGACUGGAGUGAUGGAGAGGCAAGCGGAAUUCCCAGUGUAGCGGUGAAAUGC
rnacentral:rRNA from 1 species